AGUGAACGCUGGCGGUAGGCCUAACACAUGCAAGUCGAACGGCAGCACAGGAGAGCUUGCUCUCUGGGUGGCGAGUGGCGGACGGGUGAGGAAUACAUCGGAAUCUACUCUGUCGUGGGGGAUAACGUAGGGAAACUUACGCUAAUACCGCAUACGACCUACGGGUGAAAGCAGGGGACCUUCGGGCCUUGCGCGAUUGAAUGAGCCGAUGUCGGGUUAGCUAGUUGGCGGGGUAAAGGCCCACCAAGGCGACGAUCCGUAGCUGGUCUGAGAGGAUGGUCAGCCACACUGGAACUGAGACACGGUCCAGACUCCUACGGGAGGCAGCAGUGGGGAAUAUUGGACAAUGGGCGCAAGCCUGAUCCAGCCAUACCGCGUGGGUGAAGAAGGCCUUCGGGUUGUAAGCCCUUUUGUUGGGAAAGAAAUCCAGCUGGCUAAUACCCGGUUGGGAUGACGGUACCCAAAGAAUAAGCACCGGCUAACUUCGUGCCAGCAGCCGCCGUAA
rnacentral:rRNA from 1 species